GCACCUGGGAAAUGCCACCACAUAUGCAACCUCCUCUCCAUUCCUCAGAGAGAUGGAACAACCCUUUCUUGUUUCAUUCCUCAUUUGAGCAACCCCAUGCUAUAACCAGCAAAUCUGAGUGGCUCCAGGAGCAGAGUCCUACAGCACAUCCCCUCCUGCUGCAGCUGCCAAGCUCCUCGUCCUUCCUUGAUCAUCUUCAUUCAGUCUACCUCAAGAAGAGAGUCUCCAGCUGAUGACACUGCCCAGAAGAUGGCUGGACAAGGCCAUGUGUCUCCAGUACUACAUGUAAACUAACAGGCAAAAAUGCCAGCUGCCUGCAACAAGGUGAUGUUCUGCCUUGUGGGCAUGAAUCUUAGAACCAGGGAUACAUUUAGGUUGGAAAAGACCUCUAAGAUCAUUGAGUCCAACCAAUAACCCAGCACUGCCAAGUCCAGCACUAAACCAUAAUAAUUUAAAAUAAUUUAAAAACAUCUCCAUAGUUUUUAAAUACCUCCCAGGAUGGUGACUUUCACAACUCCUCUGGACAGCCUGUUCCAAUACCUAACAACUCUUCCAGGGCAGAAAUCUUUCCUAAUACCCAAUCUAAACCUCCCCUGGUGUAACUUUAGGUUACUUUGUCUUGUUUUAUUGCCAAGAGCACAUGAAGAACACAUGUGACUGAAUGUGUUAACAGACAGGAAAAUACUUGUCCUUAGCUUGAACAUGAGCCAACUUCCCCCUGGACUUCUGCUGAGUCAGUUCCUGUGGUCUCUUAUAUAUAUAUAUAUAUAUAUAGUGGUUAGUCUUAUAGAUGUCUUUGGGGAAUCACCACAUUGAUAAAAAGUCAUGGCAUUUUAUGUGUAUGAACAUUUGUGCCAGAAGGACAGCUAAGGUUGAAAUGUUCAAAUGCUCAGAAGUUAAGAAAUGCCAGAAGUCAGACUGCAUGAAAAUAUGUCAGUCUGGCCCUAGGAUGGUACAGCUGGACCAAAAGUGAUCCUUUGUAUUUGAAGGACUGGGUCUGAUAUAUUUUAAUUUGAAAAUGCAUCAUCUUCAUAUUCUAUAUUAUGUCUUAAAUAACAGAUGAACUUGCCUCUAGCAAAAAAGCACUGAAGAGAUGCAAUGGAUAGCUACUGUUCUUCUAUUGCAUCUUAAAAAAGCAAUGUUUGGCUUUUUACAGGACUCAGCGUAACUGAAAAGUACAUUCCCUCUGUAUUCCAAGUACAUAACCUCUGUGUUCUCUUAUUUCCUAUUUGU
rnacentral:lncRNA from 1 species